rnacentral:rRNA from 1 species
GCUAUUUAGGUUAGAGUUUGAUCAUGGCUCAGGACGAACGCUGGCGGCGUGCUUAACACAUGCAAGUCGAACGAUGAAGCCCUUCGGGGUGGAUUAGUGGCGAACGGGUGAGUAACACGUGGGCAAUCUGCCCUGCACUCUGGGACAAGCCCUGGAAACGGGGUCUAAUACCGGAUACUGACCAUCUUGGGCAUCCUUUGGUGGUGGAAAGCUCCGGCGGUGCAGGAUGAGCCCGCGGCCUAUCAGCUUGUUGGUGAGGUAGUGGCUCACCAAGGCGACGACGGGUAGCCGGCCUGAGAGGGCGACCGGCCACACUGGGACUGAGACACGGCCCAGACUCCUACGGGAGGCAGCAGUGGGGAAUAUUGCACAAUGGGCGGAAGCCUGAUGCAGCGACGCCGCGUGAGGGAUGACGGCCUUCGGGUUGUAAACCUCUUUCAGCAGGGAAGAAGCGC